AGUGAACGCUGGCGGCGUGCUUAACACAUGCAAGUCGAACGAGAACGGGUUAUAGCUUGCUAUAAUUGUCAGCUAAGUGGCGCACGGGUGAGUAAUGUAUAGGUAAUAUGCCUCUUACUAAGGGAUAACAAAUGGAAACGUUUGCUAAUACCUUAUACUCCUUAUUAACAUAAGUUAAUAAGGGAAAGAUUUAUUGGUAAGAGAUUAGCCUGUAUUGUAUCAGUUAGUUGGUGGGGUAAUGGCUUACCAAGACUAUGACACAUAACUGGUUUGAGAGGAUGAUCAGUCACACUGGAACUGAGACACGGUCCAGACUCCUACGGGAGGCAGCAGUGGGGAAUAUUGCACAAUGGACGAAAGUCUGAUGCAGCAACGCCGCGUGGAGGAUGACACAUUUCGGUGCGUAAACUCCUUUUAUAUGAGAAGAUAAUGACGGUAUUAUAUGAAUAAGCACCGGCUAACUCCGUGCCAGCAGCCGCGGUAA
rnacentral:rRNA from 1 species